rnacentral:rRNA from 1 species
GAUGAACGCUGGCGGCGUGCCUAAUACAUGCAAGUCGAGUGAACAGACGAGGAGCUUGCUCCUCUGACGUUAGCGGCGGACGGGUGAGCAACACGUGGAUAACCUACCUAUAAGACUGGGAUAACUUCGGGAAACCGGAGCUAAUACCGGAUAAUAUAUUGAACCGCAUGGUUCAAUAGUGAAAGACGGUUUUGCUGUCACUUAUAGAUGGAUCCGCGCCGCAUUAGCUAGUUGGUAAGGUAACGGCUUACCAAGGCAACGAUGCGUAGCCGACCUGAGAGGGUGAUCGGCCACACUGGAACUGAGACACGGUCCAGACUCCUACGGGAGGCAGCAGUAGGGAAUCUUCCGCAAAGGGCGAAAGCUUGACGGAGCAACGCCGCGUGAGUGAUGAAGGUCUUCGGAUCGUAAAACUCUGUUAUUAGGGAAGAACAAAUGUGUAAGUAACUAUGCACGUCUUGACGGUACCUAAUCAGAAAGCCACGGCUAACUACGUG